rnacentral:lncRNA from 1 species
GGAUCCCCCUGGAUCCCCUCAUGAUCCCCCCUGGAAUUUCCCCCGGAUACCUCAGCCUGGAAACAGGGAUCAGGCCCAGGCUUGGCUUCUUUUCCAGGCUUACUUUGGAUUUUGGGGCUGGGGUUUGGGAUUAGGGCUGGAAUUUAGGAUUUGGGCUGGAUUUUGGGAUCAGGGCUAGAAUUUGGGCUGGAUUUUGGGAUCAGGGCUGGGUUUUGGGGCUGGAAUUUAGGAUUUGGGCUGGAUUUUGGGAUCAGGGCUGGGUUUUGGGGCUGGCAUUUAGGAUUGGGCCUGGAAUUUGGGAUUUUGCUCAGGAAAAGUGGGAAUUUUCCCUUCCCUGCUGACAAAUUCUCCUUUUUCCCAGGAUAUGGCACCUGGAGCACCGGGGCCGCCAGCGCCCAGGCUUCCUAUGGCACAAACACGAGCAGCUGGCAAGGUGGGUGAGAAUUUUGGAAUUCCCAAUUCCCUCUUUUCCUGCUUUUUCCCCCUUUUCUUCUUUUUCCCCCAACUUUUUCCAACUUUUUUUCUUCUUCCUCUCAUUUUUCCCUCCUUUUUCCCUCUUUUCCAAAUUUUUCCUUUUUCCUUCCUUCCUCGCAUUUUCCUUCUUUUUCCCCCAUUUUUCUCCUUUAUUCCCAUUUCUCUUCCCCCCCAGUUUUUCCAACUUUUCCCCUCCUUUUUUCCAAUUUUUUCCUCCCUUUUCCUCCUUCCUUCUUUUUCCCCAUUUUUCUCCUUUUUUCCCGUUUUCUUUCCCCCCAUUUUUUCCAACUUUUUUCUUCCUUUUUCCCAAAUUUUCCCGCCCUUUCCCAAAUUUUUCUUUUUCCUCUCCUUCCUUUCAUUUUCCUUCUCUUUUUCCCAUUUUUCUUCCCUUUUUCCACCUUUUCUUUCCUUUUUUCCCUCCCCCCCAUUUUUCCAUCCUUUUCCUCCCUUUUCCCAUUUUUUUCCCUUUUCCCCCUCUCUUUUCUCAAUUUUUUCCUCUCUUUUUCCCAUUUUUCUUUCCUUUUCCUUCUUUUUAUUCCUCUUCCCUCUCCCCUUUUCCUCUCCUUUUCCCUCUCCCUUUAUUCUUCAUGGCUUUUCCUGCUGUGCUCCCACCCUGUAACUCUUUAAUUAAUCCUUUAAUUUCUCCCUAAUUAACCAAAUAAUUAAUUACUCCCCAGGCUGCAAAGAGCCAAAAUUCCCAAAACCCAAAACCCUUUGGAUUCCUUUGGAAUCCUCCCAGAGCUUUUCCUGCUGGAUUCCCACCCCUGGAACUCUUCAAUUACUCUCUUAAUGAUCCCCUAAUUAAUUAAUGAGCUAAUUAACCCUUUCCUCCCCAGGCUGUGAGGGUUACGAGUUCUACACCCCCCAAUCUCCCUUGGAAUUUUUUUUUUCCUUGGAAUUUUCCCAGAGCUUUUCCUGCUGGUCUCUCAUCCCUGUAACUCUUCAAUUCCUGCCUUAAUGACCUUGUCACUAAUUAAUUAAUGAGCUGAUUAACCCUUUCCCUCCAGUCUAUG